CCUUGUAUUUGCAACAAAUUGCGGGAAGCCUACACUGAACUCUGAAGUAUACAAAGCAACCAUCGUAUUCAAAACCACCCUCAACUACCAAUCCGUACAGAUCACGCGCUUCCUCUCCCUCGCGUCAUUAAGAACUCGUUUACCGUCGUUGGUGGCGCCGGUAGCUCUGCCGCCGGCAAUCCAGAUGAAAUUGCGAAGUUGUUCCCAUGCUUGUUUGGACAGCCUUCAGCAAUGUUGGUACCCGAUGACGGGAAGGGAUUAGGAUCUAGUCAAAAUUUGAAGAUCGGUGUGGUCUUAUCUGGAGGCCAAGCUCCUGGAGGGCAUAAUGAUAUUUCGGGCAUUUACGACUACUUGCAGGAUCGUUGCAAAGGGAGCACACUGUAUGGAUUCAAGGGUGGUCCAGCUGGGAUCAUGAAGUGUAAAUAUGUGACGUUGACCUCAGAAUAUAUUUAUCCUUAAAGGAAUCAGACAAUGGAGUAAGCAACAUAUUUUCGAGGUUGUGCUCUAAUCUUGGAGGCCAUCUUAUUUGAGCGCAUAUCUUCUAUUGCGCCAAAGAUCGAGAAUUCCAACCCUUCUCGGGAGAGCAUAGUGUUACUCAUGGGGCUUUAUAAUAUCAGUGUUAACGUUAAAUUGAAGUUUUGAGCAUUUGAUUGUAUGUGAUAUUAUCAAAUUUUGUGGCUGAUUUGUACGCGAUGCAGUUGCUUAUCAUGGGACAAAAAAAUCUGUGGCUGUUGUACUACUUAUGGGACGUGCUGCCUCGCACAUUACGCUGGAGUGUGCUUUACAAACUCAUCCAAAUAUCACCCUUAUUGGAGAAGAGGUUGCUGCAAGAAACAAACCUUGAAAAAUGUUACAGACUAUAUUGGUGAUGUUGUUUGUAAGCGUGGAGAACUCGGGUAUAACUAUGGUGUGAUACUUGUACCUGAAGGACUUGUUGAUUUUAUUCUGGAGGUCCAACACCUCAUUGCAGAACUGAAUGAAAUUCUAGCCAAUGACAUUGUAGAUGAAGACGGCCUUUGGAAAAAGAAACUUGCACCGCAAUCACUGGAGCUAUUUGCAUUACUACCUCCUGCAAAUCAAGGUAAAUUCAAGCCAGUGAUUAGGAAGGCAAUGGUAGAGCUUGAUGCUGCUCCAUUCAAGAAAUUUGCUUCCUUGCAUGAAGAAUGGGCCCAAACAAAUUGUUACAUCAGUCCAGGAUUUUAAGGACCUGGCUGAUCAUUUCUUUAUCCUCUGUCAAUGAAGUAAUCACCAUCGUACAAACGUUUUACCCAUAAGAAGCCAAUUGUUUCUUUAUAAAGUAGAUAGUAGUUUGUCUCAUGCAGCAGGUGUAGACGUGUAGUAUGUGUAAGUUCAAGAAGUCUCCUGCGGUGCAUUAUAGUAAUCUGCUGCAUUGUCUUUACUGCAAACUUUUGUUUUAAAAUCUAAGCAAUGAAAAAGGGAUCUUACUUUAUCUUAAAGGCAUUGCAGAGCAAUGGAAAAAAGCUUCUACCAAAUCUCAGAGAUAAACACAUGAUUUGGAUUUGCUUUUUCCUUGCAAACAAUUGUCUUGUAGAUAAAAACAAACCACCAAGUGUGCAG